rnacentral:misc_RNA from 1 species
GAUGAAGAACGUAGCGAAAUGCGAUAAGUAAUGUGAAUUGCAGAAUUCAGUGAAUCAUCGAAUCUUUGAACGCACAUUGCGCCCAUUAGUAUUCUAAUGGGCAUGCCUGUUCGAGCAUCAUUUCAACCCUCAAGCCUUAGUUGCUUGGUGUUGGGAGCUUAUCCUGCCGGAAGGCGGGACAACUCCUUAAAUUUAUUGGCGGAGUCGCGGUGACCCCAAGCGCAGUAAUUCUUUUUUUCUCGCUUUAGGUGUUAUCGCUGGCUUCUAGCCAUUAAACCCCCCCUAUUUUUUAAUGGUUGACCUCGGAUCAGGUAGGACUACCCGCUGAACUUAAGCAUAUCAAUAAGCGGAGGA